GCUGAGAUAGUACAGCUGCCGGACCCUGUGUACUUCCCAGCUGGAAUGUAUAUCAAUUAUGAAUGCCUACCAGGUUUUGAUUUUGACCCAUUCCAAGCUCGCUCUGUUAAAUGCCAAGAGGAUUUCAUAUGGUCAGAAAUAACGGAAUUUUGUACAAGUAAGUAAAAUUAAAAUGUAAUUUACAUUGUUCUAUUCACGCAGAAAAAUACAUGUUAUUUACAAUAAUUUGGAUAUAUUUCAGUUUAUCAGUAUUCGUUUAAAAUCACCACAUGUCUACUGGAUUUGCAAUUGUCAUAAUUACUUAAAAGGAAACUAUAGUGCCAGGAAAACAAAGUUAAAAACCCCUUCUGUCACUUACCUGAGUCCAGGUCUGAUGUACUUCGUUGCUGCUUUGGCCUCCGCCUUCACUGCUUCCCCUGCUGACAUCAGCUUGCAAGGGAGACCCUAUGCGCAUGUGUGACAAUGGCCUCUCUCGCAUUAGGAUUUCCCCCAUAAGAAAGAAUGCAUAAUGCUUUCCUAUGGGGUUUACAUAAUGCUGGGUGUCCUCAUGCAUAGCGUGAGGAUGCCCAGCAUCAGUUAGAUGACCAAAAGUUGCCUAACAACCCAGAAGUCUCUCUAGUGAUUGGCUGGUAGACAGUCACUAGAGGUGGAGUAAACCCUCAAAGAUAAUCAUUGCAGUUUAUUAAAAAGGGCAAUAAUUACCUUUGCAGGGUUAAGUGACCAUGGACUACGCACCUAGACCACUUCAAUAAGAUGAAACAUAGAAACAUAGAAUGUGACGGCAGAUAAGAACCAUUCGGCCCAUCUAGUCUGCCCAAUUUUCUAAAUACUUUCAUUAGUCCCUGGCCUUAUCUUAUAGUUAGGAUAGCCUUAUGCCUAUCCCACGCAUGCUUAAACUCCUUUACUGUGUUAACCUCUACCACUUCAGCUGGAAGGCUAUUCCAUGCAUCCACUACCCUCUCAGUAAAGUAAUACUUCCUGAUAUUAUUUUUAAACCUUUGUCCCUCUAAUUUAAGACUAUGUCCUCUUGUUGUGGUAGUUUUUCUCUCUUUUAAAUAUAGUCUCCUCCUUUAUUGUGUUGAUUCCCUUUAUGCAUUUAAAUGUUUCUAUCAUAUCCCCCCUGUCUCGUCUUUCCUCCAAGCUAUACAUGUUAAGAUCCUUUAACCUUUCCUGGUAAGUUUUAUCCUGCAAUCCAUGAACCAGUUUAGUAGCUCUUCUCUGAACCCUGAAGUGGUCUGGAUGCCUGUAAUGUCUCUUUAAGGCAAUUCCUUCUGAAAUUUAAUUUCACAUGAAUUAGCAUAUCUUGGUCUAUACAAUCUGCUGUCUGUUUUAAACACAGUAAUUCUGAUAUGUGCAUCUUACACAAAAUAAUAUUGCAAAGUCUUGUUUGAAAGCAGAUCUUGCCUGGAACCAACCAAAUCAACAAAAAAGAUGUAUCUGCUUUAUGCAAUUGAAUCUAUUUAUGCUUGUAGCCAGUGGGCAAAUGGUUAAAAAACCCAACUCAAUAGUGCAUGCGUUAAUUAAAUCAACUAAAUAUAUCCCAUAUUUAUUAUAAUUAUUAUAUAUUGCAGUUGUGUCAUGUGAAAUGCCAGAAAAUAUCACAAAUGGAAUUGUAGAAGUAAC